AUUAAAUUGCUCUCAACAUUAAAGAUUCUCCAAAUUGUCAAUUGUGAAAGCCUUGAUUUGACAAUGGAGGAUGGAGAAGACAAUCAAUGCCGAACUCAAUUCAGCCUCCAAAAAUUAUUGAUGGUAGGAAUACCAGAAUUAGUGGAUUUUACAGAAUGGCUUAUUGGAGGAUCUACCAACAGUUUGAAAGUCCUGACAAUUGGAUACUGUAACAAUCUCAAAGAAUUACCAAAUUGCUUACAACAAAUGGCUUCACUUGAGCUUCAAAUCGUAAAUUGUCCAGAGCUAAACAACGAACCCUCACAGAAAACUGAUGAGAAUUAAUACAUAAGACGAUG
rnacentral:misc_RNA from 1 species